GAUCCCGGGGGACGGGCCCGAAAGGCAGCGGCGGCACCGCGUCCGGUCCUCGAGCGUAUGGGGCUUUGUCACCCGCUCUGUAGGCCCGGCCGGCGCUUGCCGAUCAACCCAAAUUUUUAUCCAGGUUGACCUCGGAUCAGGUAGGGAUACCCGCUGAACUUAAGCAUAUCAAUAAGCGGAGGAAAAGAAACCAACAGGGAUUGCCCCAGUAACGGCGAGUGAAGCGGCAAGAGCUCAAAUUUGAAAGCUGGCUCCUUCGGGGUCCGCAUUGUAAUUUGUAGAGGAUGCUUCGGGAGCGGUCCCCAUCUAAGUGCCCUGGAACGGGACGUCAUAGAGGGUGAGAAUCCCGUAUGGGAUGGGGUGUCCGCGCCCGUGUGAAGCUCCUUCGACGAGUCGAGUUGUUUGGGAAUGCAGCUCUAAAUGGGUGGUAAAUUUCAUCUAAAGCUAAAUAUUGGCCGGAGACCGAUAGCGCACAAGUAGAGUGAUCGAAAGAUGAAAAGCACUUUGAAAAGAGAGUUAAAAAGCACGUGAAAUUGUUGAAAGGGAAGCGCUUGCGACCAGACUCGCUCGCGGGGUUCAGCCGGCAUUCGUGCCGGUGUACUUCCCCGCGGGCGGGCCAGCGUCGGUUUGGGCGGUCGGUCAAAGGCCCUCGGAAGGUAACGCCCCUAGGGGCGUCUUAUAGCCGAGGGUGCAAUGCGACCUGCCUAGACCGAGGAACGC
rnacentral:rRNA from 1 species